CCCUUAGAUGUUCUGGGCUGCACGCGCGCUACACUGACAUGUCCAGCGAGCUCCCAACCUGCUCGGCAAAGAAUGGGUACCCUUUUUAACGCAUGUCGUGAUGGGGAUAGAUUAUUGCAAUUGUUGAUCUUGAACGAGGAAUUCCUAGUAAGUGCAAGUCAUUAGCUUGUGCUGAAUACGUCCCUGCCCUUUGUACACACCGCCCGUCGCUACUACCGAUUGAACGGUUUAGUGAGGGCCUCGGAUUGGUCUCGGCCCGCUCUUUACCGGGCGGCGCCGUUGGUCGAGAAGACGCUCGAACUUGAUCGUUUAGAGGAAGUAAAAGUCGUAACA
rnacentral:rRNA from 1 species